CCGUACUUAGAUGGAUAGUGAUAGUUGUUUAUACAACUAUUUUGAAUUUUAAGUAUGAUGUUGUGUUUGCAUAUUGGUCUAGGAAACUAGACUAGAGUAACGUAAGUUACUCGUUUCACUUCCUGUAUAUUUUGAACCCUUUUUGGUUUAUACGCCGCCCACUUUGGGCGGUUUUUUUA
rnacentral:other from 1 species